rnacentral:rRNA from 1 species
CAAGGUUAAAACUCAAAUGAAUUGACGGGGGCCCGCACAAGCGGUGGAGCAUGUGGUUUAAUUCGAUGCAACGCGAAGAACCUUACCUGGUCUUGACAUCCACGGAAGUUUUCAGAGAUGAGAAUGUGCCUUCGGGAACCGUGAGACAGGUGCUGCAUGGCUGUCGUCAGCUCGUGUUGUGAAAUGUUGGGUUAAGUCCCGCAACGAGCGCAACCCUUAUCCUUUGUUGCCAGCGAUUAGGUC